CAAAAAGGGUAUAAAAUGGAAGGCCCAAGUCCGAAUGAUAUCUUCGUUUUAAAAGAAGCUACAAUCAACAUGAAACUGAUUCUGCUCACUGCUGUGCUAGCUGUCUUGGCAUCGGGCUGCUAUGCUGUUGCUAUCGAACCACAUUGGGCAGACCCAUCAGAAUCAUAAAAUUAAAUGUUGGUCCUGGUUUCUAAAAUAUAAUGUAUAUUCAAAUAUACCAAUCAUAAUGCAGCAAUUUUGAGCUGGUCAAAUUA
rnacentral:sRNA from 1 species